ACGAACGCUGGCGGCGUGCCUAAUACAUGCAAGUCGAACGGUCUUUCUAUGGAAGCUUGCUUCCACUGAGAAGAUAGUGGCGAACGGGUGAGUAACACGUGGGUAACCUGCCCAUAAGAGGGGGAUAACAUCCGGAAACGGGUGCUAAUACCGCAUAGUUUUCUUGAUCGCAUGAUUGAGAAAGGAAAGACGGCCUUUGUGCUGUCGCUUAUGGAUGGACCCGCGGCGUAUUAGUUAGUUGGUGAGGUAACGGCUCACCAAGACGAUGAUACGUAGCCGACCUGAGAGGGUGAUCGGCCACAUUGGGACUGAGACACGGCCCAAACUCCUACGGGAGGCAGCAGUAGGGAAUCUUCCGCAAUGGACGAAAGUCUGACGGAGCAACGCCGCGUGAGUGAAGAAGGUUUUCGGAAUCGUAAAACUCUGUUGUCAGAGAAGAACAAGUUGGAGAGUAACUGCUCCAGCCUUGACGGUAUCUGACCAGAAAGCCACGGCUAACUACGUGCCAGCAGCAGC
rnacentral:rRNA from 1 species